AGAGUUUGAUCCUGGCUCAGAUUGAACGCUGGCGGCAUGCUUUACACAUGCAAGUCGAACGGGGUUAAGGGGCUUGCUCCUUAAUCUAGUGGCGAACGGGUGAGUAAUGCAUCGGAACGUACCCGGGAGUGGGGGAUAACGCACCGAAAGGUGUGCUAAUACCGCAUAUUCUGUGAGCAGGAAAGCAGGGGACCUUAGGGCCUUGUGCUUCCGGAGCGGCCGAUGUCGGAUUAGCUAGUUGGUGAGGUAAGGCUCACAAGGCGACGAUCCGUAGCGGGCUGAGAGGAUGAUCCGCCACACUGGGACUGAGACACGGC
rnacentral:rRNA from 1 species